rnacentral:rRNA from 1 species
GACCUCAAAUCAGGUAGGACUACCCGCUGAACUUAAGCAUAUCAAUAAGCGGAGGAAAAGAAACUAACGAGGAUUCCCCUAGUAACUGCGAGUGAAGCGGGAAGAGCUCAAAUUUCGAAUCUGGCGGUCCUCGGCCGUCCGAGUUGUAAUCUAGAGAAGCGUCUUCCGCGCCGGACCGUGUACAAGUCUCCUGGAAGGGAGCAUCGUAGAGGGUGACAAUCCCGUCUCUGACACGGAACCCCCGGGGCUAUGUGAUGCGCUCUCGACGAGUCGAGUUGUUUGGGAAUGCAGCUCAAAUCGGGUGGUAAACUCCAUCUAAAGCUAAAUAUUGGCGAGAGACCGAUAGCGAACAAGUACCGUGAGGGAAAGAUGAAAAGGACUUUGGAAAGAGAGUUAAACAGUACGUGAAAUUGCUGGAAGGGAAACGCUUGACGUCAGUCGCGUCGACCGGGGAUCAACCUUGCUUUUCGCUGGGCGUAUUUCCCGGUCGACGGGUCAGCAUCGAUUUCGGUCGUCGUACAAGGACGGGAGCGAACGUGGCACUCUCCGGAGUGUGUUAUAGCCUCUCGUACGGAUGCGAUGGUCGGGAUCGAGGAACUCGGCGCGACCCCUCGAGGGUUCGGGGCUUCGGUCCACGUGACGCGCCU